GGUGCCCACUGGUCACCCUAUAAAUAGUACUCUUCUGUGUAGUAAUAUUGUAGUUCUAAAAAUAGAAAACCAAAAAUAGACAAUUCUUCUUUCUGUUUAGCAAUACACCAUAGAUCUAAAGCCUGUUACCGUCUGUAUUAUCUAAGUCGUCAGAAAAUGUAGAUGCGAGUGAAGUCCUCAGAAAAUGUAGAUGAGAAUGGAAUUGUAAGACAAUCAAAGAAAAUGAAAAAAAGAACAAGAACAGCUUAACUGCAAGAAAAGAUCACAACUGUAUCUCACUUCAGUUCCAGGUGAUGUUGACUAUCAAGUUAAAUGCUUUAACCGAGGCUCCUGUCGAUAACGAAUCAACCAAAAAGGCUGUUUUCCGAAAAAUGAAAGGGACAUCUGCCCCAAAAAAAGGAUGACAAUGAAAA